CUCUCUGGUUCCUGUCUCUCAGGGGUUUGUAGCUCAACAUUCUUUUUGGGACUGUCCUGAUUCUCCAGCAUCCUGGGAGUCUCUGCGGCGGUUCUAGUGAUCACAUUGAAGUGAAGACUUUCUGGUCAACGAAGGAGACCUUGGUCCACACAGACGUGCAGGUGUGUGUGACCCGGGG